rnacentral:rRNA from 1 species
UACGAAGGGUGCAAGCGUUACUCGGAAUUACUGGGCGUAAAGCGUGCGUAGGCGGUUAGUUAAGUCUGUCGUGAAAGCCCCGGGCUCAACCUGGGAGUGGCGAUGGAUACUGGCUAGCUAGAGUGUGUCAGAGGAUGGUGGAAUUCCCGGUGUAGCGGUGAAAUGCGUAGAGAUCGGGAGGAACAUCCGUGGCGAAGGCGACUACCUGGACCAGCACUGACACUGAGGCACGAAAGCGUGGGGAGCAAACAGG